AGCGAACGCUGGCGGCAGGCCUAACACAUGCAAGUCGAACGAACCCUUCGGGGUUAGUGGCGGACGGGUGAGUAACACGUGGGAACGUGCCUUUAGGUUCGGAAUAACUCAGGGAAACUUGUGCUAAUACCGAAUGUGCCCUUCGGGGGAAAGAUUUAUCGCCUUUAGAGCGGCCCGCGUCUGAUUAGCUAGUUGGUGAGGUAAUGGCUCACCAAGGCUACGAUCAGUAGCUGGUCUGAGAGGAUGACCAGCCACAUUGGGACUGAGACACGGUCCAAACUCCUCCGGGAGGCAGCAGUGGGGAAUCUUGCGCAAUGGGCGAAAGCCUGACGCAGCCAUGCCGCGUGGAUGAUGAAGGUCUUAGGAUUGUAAAAUCCUUUCACCGGUGAAGAUAAUGACUGUAGCCGGAGAAGAAGCCCCGGCUAACUUCGUGCCAGCAGCCGCGGUAACAC
rnacentral:rRNA from 1 species